GGGAGCCCUAGAACGGGGCGGCGUGCCCCGGUCUCUCCCCUGGUGGCCGCUCCACUAGGAGGUCUGGGUGGGGCGCUCCUCCCCGGGGCGCAGGCUGCCAAGCGCCCGCCCACCGCCGGCGGCCAAGCCCCCGGGAGACCGCGGAGCUGCAGGAAUUCAAAGGAACCUUCCCAGUCUCCAGGAAAGGUGCUGAAGACAAAUUUAUGAAAGGAAACAGCAAACUUAGCCACUGGUGGGAGAAUGCCACAGAGAUCUCUCAGAAAACCACAGAGAAGAGGUGACAUCUGAAGUGGGCCCUGAAGGCUCCAAGAAUCCUGAUGCCACGACUUUGUAUCCUAUCAACGCCCGGAAGGACGAGACCUCAUUCCCCGAAGCAAGAGGCUGAGUUUCUCUCCUGAAAGGUGGAAUCAUUUCUAGCACCCGUAGCUGCUGAAAAGGUCCUGUUCCUUUGUUCAAAUAUACCAUUACUCCUAAAGUCAGUGGGAUGUUUUAUUCACGUCAUUCUUCAAAUAGUGGUAAUAAAUUUGUGAUAUUCAUGAUCA
rnacentral:lncRNA from 12 species